rnacentral:rRNA from 1 species
AUUGAGAGCUUGCUCUCAAGAAGUUAGCGGCGGACGGGUGAGUAACACGUGGGUAACCUGCCCAUAAGACUGGGAUAACUCCGGGAAACCGGGGCUAAUACCGGAUAACAUUUUGAACUGCAUGGUUCGAAAUUGAAAGGCGGCUUCGGCUGUCACUUAUGGAUGGACCCGCGUCGCAUUAGCUAGUUGGUGAGGUAACGGCUCACCAAGGCAACGAUGCGUAGCCGACCUGAGAGGGUGAUCGGCCACACUGGGACUGAGACACGGCCCAGACUCCUACGGGAGGCAGCAGUAGGGAAUCUUCCGCAAUGGACGAAAGUCUGACGGAGCAACGCCGCGUGAGUGAUGAAGGCUUUCGGGUCGUAAACUCUGUUGUUAGGGAAGAACAAGUGCUAGUUGAAUAAGCUGGCACCUUGACGGUACCUAACCAGAAAGCCACGGCUAACUACGUGCCAGCAGCCGCGGUAAUACGUAGGUGGCAAGCGUUAUCCGGAAUUAUUGGGCGUAAAGCGCGCGCAGGUGGUUUCUUAAGUCUGAUGUGAAAGCCCCGGCUCACCGUGGAGGUCAUUGGAAACUGGGAGACUUGAGUGCAGAAAGGAAAGUGGAUUCCAUGUGUAGCGGUGAAUGCGUAGAGAUAUGGAGGAACACCAGUGGCGAAGGCGACUUUCUGGUCUGUAACUGACCUGAGGCGCGAAGCGUGGGGAGCAACAGGAUAGAUACCUGGUAGUCCCGCCGUAACGAUGAUGCUAG